rnacentral:rRNA from 1 species
AGUUGUAAUCUCUAGAAAUGUUUUCCCCGUUGGACCGCACACAAGUCUGUUGGAAUACAGCGGCAUAGUGGUGAGACCCCCGUAUAUGGUGCGGACGCCCAGCGCUUUGUGAUACAUUUUCGAAGAGUCGAGUUGUUUGGGAAUGCAGCUCAAAUUGGGUGGUAAAUUCCAUCUAAAGCUAAAUAUUGGCGAGAGACCGAUAGCGAACAAGUACCGUGAGGGAAAGAUGAAAAGCACUUUGGAAAGAGAGUUAACAGUACGUGAAAUUGUUGGAAGGGAAACGCUUGAAGUCAGACUUGCUUGCCGAGCAAUCGGUUUGCAGGCCAGCAUCAGUUUUCCGGGAUGGAUAAUGGUAGAGAGAAGGUAGCAGUUUCGGCUGUGUUAUAGCUCUCUGCUGGAUACAUCUUGGGGGACUGAGGAACGCAGUGUGCCUUUGGCGGGGGUUUCGACCUCUUCACACUUAGGAUGCUGGUGGAAUGGCUUUAAACGAC